rnacentral:rRNA from 1 species
UACGUAGGGCGCAAGCGUUGUCCGGAAUUAUUGGGCGUAAAGAGCUCGUAGGCGGUUUGUCGCGUCUGCUGUGAAAACCUAAGGCUCAACCUUGGGCUUGCAGUGGGUACGGGCAGACUAGAGUGCGGUAGGGGUGACUGGAAUUCCUGGUGUAGCGGUGGAAUGCGCAGAUAUCAGGAGGAACACCGAUGGCGAAGGCAGGUCACUGGGCCGCAACUGACGCUGGAGGAGCGAAAGCCGUGGGGAGCGAACAGG